rnacentral:rRNA from 1 species
CGGCGGACGGGUGAGUAACGUGUAAAGAACUUACCAUAUAGACUGGGAUAGCAGAGGGAAACUUCUGAUAAUACUGGAUAAGUUAGAAGUAGCAUUACUAAGUAAUGAAAGGUAGCGAUACGCUAUAUGAGAGCUUUGCAUCCUAUUAGCUAGUUGGUGGGGUAAAAGCCUACCAAGGCGAUGAUAGGUAGCCGGCCCUGAGAGGGUGGACGGCCACAAGGGGACUGAGAUACGGGCCCUUACUCCUACGGGAGGGCAGCAGCG